CUGCUCGCUUUGGCAGCAUAUAUACUAAAAUUGGAACGAUACUGACAAGAUUAGCAUGGCCCCUGAGCAAGGAUGACAUGCAAAUUCGUGAAGCGAUCCAUAUUUUU
ensembl:snRNA Gm22454 predicted gene, 22454